rnacentral:pre_miRNA from 1 species
AGCCGCGGCUGUAGGAGCGACUGAAGAAGAGGGGGAUGGGGACAAUUGUUUUUUGUGUUGCAUUCCUGCAGUGUGUUUGA